GGAAAGUACACUGAACUGGGAAAUAGAAAGUAUGAGUUUUCAAUCCACCACCGAGCCCCUAUGUUACCUUAGUCAGGUCUAUGGUGAAGAAGCAAGAAUGCUGUGGGAGAAAUCUGUUUCAACAAAUCUGUACCAGACUCUCUGUUUUAGGGAUAUGUCAACCAACAAUAUGACAAGUCAUGGCUGACUGGAAAGAAAAAGAUUUUGGGGUCUCUGCAAGGGGGCAAAUGGGGAAGACGAAUUGUUUGGACUGCUGCUAAUCAUGGUUUAUUACGGGGCUGCUAUUAACAGGGCUGCAAACAGCCCACCUCACAGAAGAACAGGCAUGCAGGCCAUUCUUAGAUUCCAUAAAUUGCCUAAGAACAACACAGUGCAUCAGCCUUUAAUGAGGAAAGCACGUGGAGCAGGCAGCAUAAUUUAACACCAGCAAAUAGAAAUAUCUACCACGGUUUAACACUCCUUAACCUUCACUUCAUUAGACAGCUGCCCUGUCAUUUAUCUAUUUUAUUGGUGUUACAUUAUUAGCAAUAGCCAAAAAAUGGACAUUGAUGCUGAACCAUGGAUCUGCUUCCAAUCAGCAUGCAGACAGGGACAAAGCUCUUGUAACAUUGUGAGUAGAAUGCUCCAGGAGUCAGCCCUCGGGGCAUUUCAUGGAGUGAGAGAUGCAGACAUUUGCAGCGUUUCAGCUCUUUCCCAUACUGCACACUGUGAGUACCUUGGUACCAGAAAUUAUGAGUGCUGAAUGAAAUACCUGGCUGAACCCAACCCAUCUCUCUUCUAUACCCUCCUCAGCCAAAAUGGAAACCAAAGACUACAGAGAAAGAGAUUUUUGUUUCAGACCACAUUAAAUCUUUCCUUUCACUCAAACUAAUGUUUAAUUAUAGGUUAUUAAAACUAGUUCCUGGAGGGGCGCAGUGGCUCAUGCCUGUAAUCCCAGCACUUUGGGAGUCCGAGCCGGGUGGAUCACCUGAGAUCAGGAGUUCAAGACCAGCCUGGUCAACAUGGCAAAACCCUGUCUCCACUAAAAAUACAAAAAUUAGCUGGGCAGGUGGCACACACCUAUAGUCCCAGCUACUCGGGAGGCUGAGUCAGGAGAAUUGCUUUAACCCG
rnacentral:lncRNA from 10 species